rnacentral:lncRNA from 1 species
UCAAACACAUCUGAUGUAAGAUAGAAAAGAAACUAAUGCCCUCACUUUCAAGAAAAUGCCAUCCCCAGGUGGAACGAAGUCCAUAGCAUCUCCGGGAACGUUUUCCACACCUGAUAGAGUUUUCAGCAAGAUCCAAGAAGAACUACAGAUCAUUACAAACUCGUACCUGGAUAUGCUGGAGCAUUUGCAAUGACCCGAGGAAGAUCGAAGUUCACAGCCUGGAUGUGCGGGUAGAGCCGCACAAUCUGAGCCAGAAACGAGCCCGUGUCACCCCCAACAUCGACAAGCCUCUUGACGCUCUUGAAACCAUCGUAGACUCGCGUAAUAGUAGCAGAGGUUGCCGUGCUUAUACUCAGCCUGAAGUCUUCGAUAACUUUCCAAAACUCUGGAUGCGCUGCCACAUAGUCCUGAGGUUCCAUUCCAUGAGCUUCCACAAAAGCAUUGGAGUCGCCCGGCCGCUUGAUGGCAGCAUCUACAUGUUGCCACGAACGCUGAGUGACUUCGGACGUGCAGAAGGAGAGAAUGCCCCCCACGAAGACGUCACUGCUAGAGCCGUGGCUGACCAGCAGCCUGGACAUGGGAGUGAGGCCAUAGCGAGCUCCGUUGAGAGCGAGCACCUUCUUGAAGACGAGAAACCUGAGGAGUCGGAACAGCCUCUCGGCCUGGAUGCUGUCUGCAUCGUGCUUGAUCCGUAGCUCCUGAAUGAUCUCGUCCAGAGUGGCUCCUUGCUCCGACGAGAACUUGGACACGAUGUUGAAGAUGUCGAGCUUGACUGCGGCCUUGAGAGCGAAGGGCGCCGCAAAUCCCAGUGUGAGGCUCCAAAACUGGCUGUACGCUUCCAUUUGCUCGCUCGUCGCCAUUGCGAAUUGCUGCUUGGCUGCUCUGUUUGAUGGAAGAACGACCCCACCCUCGUUUCUUAUCGGUGAAGUGUCGACAUGAUCUCUUCUUUUGAACAGGGCGAACUUGCCGCGGAGCUGCGGCCGCACCUUCCAAGAACCUCAAACAUUUGGAGAAUAGUGGUCUCUUUGUUCACGAGAUCUCAGCGUGAGGACCUCUCUCGAAACCAUGAAUCGAAUUCUUACCAUAGUUCCCUGCGACAAUUUUCUCAGCAAUCGUGGGGAAGCGGAAGGAAGAGAUACCUGCCUAACGUAGCAGCUCCAUCGAAAUAUCUCGAAAGCGGUACGACCACUCUCAAUCGUGGCGGGAGGAAGAGAUACCAGUUUUAAUGUAGCCAUUGAAAUAUCUUCCAUAACGGCAGCGAUCGAGUACUCUCAAUCGCUAGAAAUUUCACUUUCCUGUGCUGGAGGAGGCCAAAGACGAGAUCCAUCCUCUGAUCAGCGCCCGGCGACAGGAUCGCGUUGCCGCUCUCAAGAAUGCGUUAUAAACCCUAGGUUUGAUAGUCACUCUGUUUUUAGGGUUUAUAGCAAAGAUGACUUUCAUGGACAAGCUAAUGCGCGCAGUGGCGGCACUCGAGUACAAGGCGCAGCACCGCGAUGAUCUCGACUGGGAGGCCUUCAACAAGCGCCCAGAGCUUACACUCGGCACCAACUGGAGCAUGGACAAAUUUGACAGGUAUUGCGAGCGCUACAAGCUCUUCUCCAAGUGUAUCUUCCGCCACGGCCGGGUCAUCGUGGUGGACGCUGGGUACACCAAUCUGAGGUAUGCCAUAGUCAUGUCACAGGUUAGCAUUGCGCUCCAGCCGGCCGUUGGCAUCCCCUGGCCAUUCCAGCCCAAGGGAUCCAACCGAGUGGUGAGAUACUUGUCCCUGGGUGCCAGCCAUCGAUCUGUGAUUCCAGGGCCGCCCCGGAUCUUUGUGAGCGUCGGAGAGUACCAGACCUUGCCGGAGCUUCUCUCGUAUGUGGACUCUUACAUCCAGGAGCCAGGCUCAAAGCUCCAGUACCUCUUGGUGCUGAAGUUCUUCCCCGGGGCGGGCAACCGGAUGGUGGCCGUGGUCUACGAGAUCGUCGGCAGUGGUGGCGGCGAGGGUGGUGCCAUGGUUACAAGUGCUAGCGCUGUGUCCUUUGGAGAUGAGGCGCUGUUCCCGGAGACUCUGGCUUUCCUGGCGGAGCGGGAGAUCCCAGUGACUGGUGUGGGACUCGGUGGAGAGAGGUGUGACAGAAUUGGCAUCCCGAGUUACCAGAUUAAACUUGCCACUGCGAAAGUUCUUGAGGGAGGAGACCUUGAGCUUCCAGAGAUCCGGGACAAGGGAGACAACCUGAUAUUGGAUCUCUACAGUAUCCAGGCUGCAUACGGAUGCCGUUGUCUGUGAAACUGGUUCUUCGUCUAGUUUUGGUUUGGCUUGCUAGCUUUCCUUGAAAUGAAAUUGAGAAAGGAAUAGCAGGCCCGGCGCACGAUAGCAGCAUUGGGGUGAGCGCGUGAGUACACGCAACACACCAUGUGAUCCGGGCCAUUGCCCCAGAACUUCAGCGCGAUCACAAAUCGGCAUGAUGGCAACGCGAAAUACUCCUCGCAUCUGCAGAGAACAAGCGCGAUCACAAAUGGCACAACGGCAACACGAAAUCCUCUGCACCUGCGGAAAACGCCCUGAAGCGACUAACUUGUGGCAACUUCCACAAAGCCAGAUGGAGCAUCAACAGUACCAUCCGGCUGCUGCAUGCGGAUCGUGACGUCGGGUUCCCUCCUCACGUUUGGUGCAAGAUACGCGACGAUCAAGAAGACACACUAGCUUCCAUAGCCGGAGCGUGAAGGAAGCGAAUCCCAAUUACAUUCUGCCAUCUGUAAAGUACCGUAAAAGACCAGGUCAAGAAAGGUCAAAACUUCUUCCCGCCACGAUCGCUAGAGCUUGGAGCUUAGGGCUAAGAGAUUGUAGAUUCGCUGCUGCUGCAUUUUUUGUCCAACGCAGUAAGUAAAGAUCUCUGUUAGAAAUGGAGAAAGUGAUCGGUACUUAGUUUCUUCGCCAUUGCUGAGAGAACAUCUGAGAAUUCGAUUCAUGGUCUUCGCCUUUGAAGGAUCAGUGAUGUCACAAUUCCGACUACGUUUCGAGGUUCUUGGAAGGUGCGCCACUUCAUCACAACAGUUCUGGGGUCGUUCUUCCAUCAAACAGAGCAAGCAAGGAGCGAUUCGCAGUGGCGAGGAGCGAGCAAAUGGAAGCGUACAGUCAGUUCUGGAGCCUCACACUGGGAUUUGCAGCGCACAGUGAAGCUCGACAUCGUCAACAGAUAUCCUGUCCAAGUUCUUCUCCGGAAGCCCAAGGUCUCCUCCCCCGAGAACUUUGGCAGUGGCAAGCUUAAUCUGAUAACUCGGGAUGCCAAUUCUGUCACAGCUCUCUCCACCAAGUCCCACACCAGUCACUGGGAUCUCCCGCUCCGCCAAGAAAGCCAGAGUCUCCGGGAACAGCACCUCCUCUCCAAAAGACACAGCGUUAGCACUCGUAGCCACGGCACCACCAUCACCGCCACCACCGCCGACGAUCUCGUAGACCACGGCCACAGAUGUAUGAGCUCGGGACAAACGAGAUAAUGUCGGCUGCGAGAUUGCCGAGAACGAUAUAUAGAUAUCUACUCUUUGAUUUAGACCAGACUACUACUUACUGCUCCGUUCUUCCCUGGAUUCGAUGUGGGAGCACCAAUUUGAUACGCAGAGGAUCGUGGGCUUUAAUGCUGGAGAUCAGCCCUGCACAGCUCAAGGAAUGCCACUGUAUCAAGUACGUAUUCCCGCAAAUUGGAUCUUUGGCAAUCAACCUGUCCCUCCCCAAGCUCAAGCCGUGUAUCACAUCGACCUCUACCUUGUUCAACGCGCGUUUCACGAGCAAAUAGGAAAGGCCGAGCCUUUCUUGUUUCGUGCUACUAGGGUUUAGGUAAGUUUUCUACCAAGAGCACGUUGAGGAUUUCUACCAAGAACCAGCGCUCGGCCGGGUCACAAGGGAUCCAACCGAGUGGUGAGAUUGUCCCUGGGUGCCAGCCAUCGAUCAGUGUUUCCAGGGCCGCCCCGGAUCUAACUCUUGUAACCAAAAGGCUUGAGAGUGCAGGUUGCGUGCUUCACAGAAACAUAUUCCGUUAGAAAAGCUACCAAAACUAGACGACCUCAUAGUGCGGGGUAAAACUUGAGGUACUCGAGCCCGGAUCCUGAAAAUACGGGCUUUGGAGAAGGUGCUCCGGAGCCUGAUCUGCUACUGCGACUUGGGACUGGCACUGUCCUCGGCCACGAGAGGAACUUGUCCAUCUUCCACGGAAGCCAAUCUUGCUCUCCGUGGUACCUAGUCAGUCAUAAGUAAAUUACUGGUGUUGUAACUUUCGGAGCUGGAACAGCCUUGACGUGCCGGGACGUGUAGUCUCGCAAGAUCGAUAUCUCUUCGGUAGUGAACCUCGUGGCAAAAUGGCAAAGUUAAUCUCGGUGGCUCGCACUAAUUGAUUUAAUUCCAGCAUUGCACUGCGGAACACAAAAGGCAAAAGUAAUCUUCUUUAUCAACUGCAAAAGCUUACGCACGUUUCAAUGUCAAGUUUUAGCUUCAGCCCUCGCAUGUUCUCCAACAAGAAAACUUUAAAGUGGAUGUGUCAACUCCUCAUAUCUGCAAACAGAGAACAGUGAAGAAGCAGCCACAACUUUAAACCAGACCUGCUCAUCAUUAUCUCCAUCAUUUGCGCUGUUCCAUCGCUAGGAAGAGGACUACCACUUGUUGGCUCAGGAAAUGCCUUCAACAUCCUGAAGAGACAUGAGAACAGAUAAAGAAAAACACAAAUAGUGGAAAAAAGAACUUCAAGGAACCUGCUCAAAGAUUCUGCAGUUAAUCGAACGUCUCCUACUUCUGCUGACGCUUUCGAAAUGUUUCGAAGAGGUCAUCCCUGAUAGACAAGAGCUGAAAACGUUAGUGUCUGAUAUUAAUCACGAGCAAAAUUUACCAGUUCCUCAACGUGCUCUUGGUAGAAAUCUUUUAUGGCCUCUGCACCUUGUCGGAUCCAGUUCAAAGUCGUCACUACCAGCCAGCCGGGUAUUCUUAUUGGGCCUCUCAUACAAAGGCAACUGCAGUCACUUAAGCUAGUCAGAAAGUACAAGUUCUUACAUGCACUCUUUGAUGUUGCUGAGAUUUGCACGUAAGCACCAAACGACCCAUCUCAAUUUCUUCGUCCAUCCAAUCUCGUUUGGACAUGAUUUCUUUUGGUACUUAAGUGACAUACAGGCGGGCCUUCACGUCGUAGUAAACAUUCUAUACACGAAAAACAAAUUAAACCAUGGAUUGAUUAGCACGACUCUACUUACAGGAGGUAAAGCGUAAUUUCUUUGAGUUGCAUCGUAGACACUUGUCGAAGCAGCCCUGAUCAGAAAUGCAGGAAACAUGAAAAAGAACUUUUCUUGACAGAGUGCAAUACCUGAGUCAGCAGUACUGCAAGCUGCUCCUGAAUGAUUCCAAGCAUCGUUAUGCUCUCGGUAAUUCGACACGACGCAUCAUACACCAGCUUUUGAGUCGCAGAGCUUUCGGAGAUUAAGGCACGAAUCAUGCAGGCCAAGCCUUCCACAAAGGCGUGAGGACCUCUCUCCAGACCAUGAAUCGAAUUCUCAUCAUGUCAGCUCCCUGUGACAAAAUUCCUAUUGACCGCAGGAACAUAAAGAAGAAAAACAAGGAGCAAACCUGAGAUCGAUGCUCACGGAGGCCAGGAAGAAGGUAGCAGCACUCAUUCUUCCUUCUCGCAAAGUCAAUGCCGACUCAGCAGCGCCUCAGUCACGAAGCCCCAAACCCUAGGGUUUUAACGUCUCAAGAUAGAUGGAAGAGAGCUCCAUGGCCGGAGAUUGUAGAUGCCAGACCCACGCGGAUUGUGGCAAUUUGGCAACGGCAAAUUGCUUGGGGCUCUGCCGCAUAUUCUUGGAAUCAAGAGCCAUUUACAUUCUUCGAGUGUUUUUGGAGAAGCCAUCUACCAGGUAGAAAUAGAAGCCUAUCUCUCGACUGAUUUUACUUCCAUCGCAAAAUGCCGCUUUCUUACAAUCAAUUACAUUACGACUAUGUUUCGAUUGUCGUCUCGCCAUCUUAGCUCCGGCCAGCCUUGUUUUUGUAUUCCAUUCGCAACAUAGAAAAGAUUUUAUCGCUAGAACAUUAGAUUUGGGUAAGCUUCCAGUUUUUGAUAUUAAGUUCCUAUACACUUUGAGAUCAUUGUUUCAUUGACAACAAUUAUAUGCUGUAUUUGUUGAAUAUGUGCUCAAUACUUCGACAAUGUUAUGAAUGUGAUUUUCAAAGUUUUAAUUUCGAGUACAAGGAUAAUACUCGUCAAUCAAUGUUUAAUUGCCUCAGUGAUGGAGAAAGGAUCUGCUUCAAAGAAUCUCACGCUUCCGAAUCCACAUGAUUCCAGCAAAUUUUUCCAUCCAGCUUUCGUUCUCUGGUACCGCUGGCUCCCCGACAAGAACAUCAUAUCAAGCUGCAAGUGUAACUCCUUGCCUUCGUCCAUGACCAUGUCACAAAUGAUGAUUUUCCCAUCUGAUUCGAGGGCCGAGUGACAGUUCUUGACGAUCUUUGCCGCAUCAGCAUCCGCAAACAUGUGUAAGAAACUCUGCGCUCAAACACAUCUGAUGUAAGAUAGAAAAGAAACUAAUGCCCUCACUUUCAAGAAAAUGCCAUCCCCAGGUGGAACGAAGUCCAUAGCGUCUCCGGGAACGUUUUCCACGCCUGAUAGAAUUUUCAGCAAGAUCCAAGAAGAACUACAGAUCAUUACAAACUCGUACCUGGAUAUGCUGGAGCAUUUGAAAUGACCCGAGGAAGAUCGAAGUUCACAGCCUGGAUAUGCGGGUAGAGCCGCACAAUCUGAGCCAGAAACGAGCCCGUGUCACCCCCAACGUCGACAAGCCUCUUGACGCUCUUGAAACCAUCGUAGACUCGCGUAAUAGUAGCAAACGUUGCCGUGCUUACACUCAGCCUGAUAACUUUCCAAAACUCUGGAUGCGCUGCCACAUAGUCCUGAGGUUCCAUUCCAUGAGCUUCCACAAAAGCAUUGGAGUCGCCCGGCCGCUU